rnacentral:lncRNA from 1 species
UUAGAGAUGGCAUUGUUUUGUCUUUUGGUGUUUAAGUGCCAAGGUGACUGAUUGAUGAAGGUUUCUCAUGACCAAGCGUGACAUUACCUUUUUUUUCUUAUUUUCUGAUUUGUUCUUGGACCGGGCCGUGUCACAUUUAAUUUCCCCAUCCCACCACCACCCUUUCGGGCCCAUUUUCGUUGUAACCAAUAUCCUCUUG